rnacentral:rRNA from 1 species
UACGAAGGGUGCAAGCGUUACUCGGAAUUACUGGGCGUAAAGCGUGCGUAGGCGGUUCGUUAAGUCCGUUGUGAAAGCCCUGGGCUCAACCUGGGAAUGGCAGUGGAUACUGGCGAGCUAGAGUGUGAUAGAGGAUGGUGGAAUUCCCGGUGUAGCGGUGAAAUGCGUAGAGAUCGGGAGGAACACCAGUGGCGAAGGCGACUACCUGGCCUGUUCUUGACGCUGAGGCGCGAAAGCUAGGGGAGCAAACGGG